rnacentral:rRNA from 1 species
GACGAACGCUGGCGGCGUGCCUAAUACAUGCAAGUCGAACGCAGUGGGGACGGGUGAGUAACACGUGGUUAACCUCCCAUCAGAGGGGAUAACACUUGGAAACAGGUGCUAAACCGAUACUGAUGGAUGGACCCGCGGUGCAUUAGCUAGUUGGUGAGGUAACGGCUCACCAAGGCCACGAUGCAUAGGCGACACGAGAGGGGCAUCGGUCACACUGGGAGUGAGACACGGCCCAGACUCAUACGGGAGGGAGCGGUAGGGAAUGUUCGGCAAUGGAAGAAAGGCUGACCGAGCAACGCCGAGGGAGUGAAGAGGGUUUUCGGAUCGUAAAACUCUUUGGUUAGAGAAGCGGUAUCUAACCAGAAAGCCACGGCUAACUACGUGCCAGCAGCCGCGGUAAUUC